rnacentral:rRNA from 1 species
CGCGUAGGUGGUUCGAUAAGUCGGAGGUGAAAUCCCUCGGCUCAACCGAGGACCCGCGUCCGAUACUGUCGAACUUGAGUGCAGGAGAGGAGAGCGGAAUUCCCAGUGUAGCGGUGAAAUGCGUAGAUAUUGGGAGGAACACCGGUGGCGAAGGCGGCUCUCUGGACUGUUACUGACACUGAGGCGCGAAAGCUAGGGGAGCAAACGGGAUUAGAUACCCCGGUAGUCCUAGCCGUAAACGAUGGGCACUAGGUGUGGGAGGUAUCGACCCCUUCCGUGCCGCAGCUAACGCAUUAAGUGCCCCGCCUGGGGAGUACGGCCGCAAGGUUGAA